rnacentral:rRNA from 1 species
UACGUAGGGUCCGAGCGUUGUCCGGAAUUAUUGGGCGUAAAGAGCUCGUAGGCGGUCUGUCACGUCGGCUGUGAAAACACGGGGCUCAACUCCGUGCCUGCAGUCGAUACGGGCAGACUAGAGUUCGGUAGGGGAGACUGGAAUUCCUGGUGUAGCGGUGAAAUGCGCAGAUAUCAGGAGGAACACCGGUGGCGAAGGCGGGUCUCUGGGCCGAAACUGACGCUAAGGAGCGAAAGCGUGGGGAGCGAACAGG